GACGAACGCUGGCGGCGUGCUUAACACAUGCAAGUCGAACGGAAAGGCCCCCUUGUGGGGUACUCGAGUGGCGAACGGGUGAGUAACACGUGAGUAACCUCCCCUUGACUUUGGUAUAACUUCAUGAAACUGGGGCUAAUACCGCAUAGGAGCUCCUGCUGCAUGGUGGGGGUGGGAGAGUUUCGGCGGUUGGGGAUGGACUCGCGGCUUAUCAGCUUGUUGGUGGGGUAGUGGCUCACCAAGGCUUUGACGGGUAGCCGGCCUGAGAGGGUGACCGGCCACAUUGGGACUGAGAUACGGCCCAGACUCCUACGGGAGGCAGCAGUGGGGAAUAUUGCACAAUGGGCGGAAGCCUGAUGCAGCAACGCCGCGUGCGGGAUGACGGCCUUCGGGUUGUAAACCGCUUUCGCCUGUGACGAAGCGUGAGUGACGGUAAUGGGUAAAGAAGCACCGGCUAACUACGUG
rnacentral:rRNA from 1 species